rnacentral:rRNA from 1 species
AGAGUUUGAUCCUGGCUCAGGACGAACGCUGGCGGCGUGCCUAAUACAUGCAAGUCGAGCGAGCUUGCCUAGAUGAUUUUGGUGCUUGCACUAAAUGAAACUAGAUACAAGCGAGCGGCGGACGGGUGAGUAACACGUGGGUAACCUGCCCAAGAGACUGGGACAACACCUGGAAACAGAUGCUAAUACCGGAUAACAACACUAGACGCAUGUCUAGAGUUUGAAAGAUGGUUCUGCUAUCACUCUUGGAUGGACCUGCGGUGCAUUAGCUAGUUGGUAAGGUAACGGCUUACCAAGGCAAUGAUGCAUAGCCGAGUUGAGAGACUGAUCGGCCACAUUGGGACUGAGACACGGCCCAAACUCCUACGGGAGGCAGCAGUAGGGAAUCUUCCACAAUGGACGAAAGUCUGAUGGAGCAACGCCGCGUGAGUGAAGAAGGGUUUCGGCUCGUAAAGCUCUGUUGGUAGUGAAGAAAGAUAGAGGUAGUAACUGGCCUUUAUUUGACGGUAAUUACUUAGAAAGUCACGGCUAACUACGUGCCAGCAGCCGCGGUAAUACGUAGGUGGCAAGCGUUGUCCGGAUUUAUUGGGCGUAAAGCGAGUGCAGGCGGUUCAAUAAGUCUGAUGUGAAAGCCUUCGGCUCAACCGGAGAAUUGCAUCAGAAACUGUUGAACUUGAGUGCAGAAGAGGAGAGUGGAACUCCAUGUGUAGCGGUGGAAUGCGUAGAUAUAUGGAAGAACACCGGUGGCGAAGGCGGCUCUCUGGUCUGCAACUGACGCUGAGGCUCGAAAGCAUGGGUAGCGAACAGGAUUAGAUACCCUGGUAGUCCAUGCCGUAAACGAUGAGUGCUAAGUGUUGGGAGGUUUCCGCCUCUCAGUGCUGCAGCU